rnacentral:ncRNA from 1 species
GCGUAUUUUGCGCAGGCGGAACUCGACCGCUCACUGAAGCGAUAUCGCCUUCAUUCACUGCCCGGCAGUCGAUACGGAGUAUCGAUGAGAGGGGAAGAUCAGCGCAUUGUUUACGGCUUCGAGUCGAUUUGCAGGGCUUUGCCGAUCGCGCC